CCCAUAAAGAUAGCAUUUUAUUUCAUUUUCCUUGUCCUCUCAUGCUCAAUUUUCUCUUUUUUUCCCUCCAAACUCAGGGGAGAAGAAAAGGAGGCCUGAUUACUCUUAUUCAUUGAUUUUGGAUGCAGUACCUCUACGAGAGAGGAGAGAGUGAAGCACCGAUGCUGGUUUUGUUUAGUUAAUGCAUUCGCAGUAGAACUCGAGCGAUAAUAGCCCCAUUUUCACAUUAUUCUUACACGUCUUCGUUUUGAUUUCGAGAUAGCUACAUACGUUGAUGGAACAUUAUGAAUGAGCAUAACCUUCCUUUUAAGGUGGGCCAACUUGCAGAGGCAAGAUCUUUUCUUGUAGGUUAUCGCGGUGCAUGGUUUCGUUGCAAGAUUAAGGAGAUCCGCCAGAGGAAGGGGGUGCAUUUAUUGGAGUACUACGACUUUUUAGAUGAAAAGAUAACUUGGACAAAACUGUACCAAAAGCCUGGUAAAUGUAAAGGUGCAAAAUUGGUGCUGCGCCCACAAUUUCCUCCUGUUUACCGUGAAAGCGAAAUGCCCAAUAUCAGUAACAUCUCAGAAGUGGUAGUCAUUAGGAAUGAUGUCUGGAAGGUGGGAGAUUUAGUAGAUUGGUGGUCUGAUAGCUGUUAUUGGUCUGGAAGGUUAACCGAAGUAUUAGAGCAUGGGAAAUUUCGGAUUGAGUUGUUUCCACCUCCUGCUGGUGAAGGUUUAUCUUAUGAAGCUUCCUCUGCAGACUUCCGUCCUUCCUUGGAUUGGUCUCCAGAGCAUGGUUGGACAGUGCCUAUAUCAGGGAAUGAAGAUCGUCAUUCUUGUGCUCGGUUAGUCAAACCUUUGAGUCAAGGGGGCUUCCUGGACUUGACAGCUUAUGCUGUCAUUGAAGGGGGAAACAAGAAUAAUACUGAAUUUUCUUCACAAACUGCAGCUAGUUAUUUAGUACCUCCAGAUAGAUCAGAGAAAGUGGCCGAGAGAACUGCAUUUCUGGAGACACAAAUAGUUGAGGAUAAAAAAGGCUCAGAUGCCCCAGAUAUUGGUGCAGGUAAAACUAGUUGUUCAGAUAGCACUUCAGUACGAGAUGCAUCAGCUGAAAUUGGAAGAGUUACUGUUGAGAAAGACUGUCACAAUGGCAAUGGUCCAUCAAAAAAGUUGAGAACUGAUAGAAGCAUUCCUUUGAACUCCAUGUGUUCGAAUACCAUAGAAGCAGCUAUUUUGGACUUGGAGGAGUUGGUGAACCGGGUUAAGUGGAUCAAGCAUAUCUUGGAGUUUGGGAUGCCUUUGCCAAAUUCUGUGCAGCCUUCCUGGAAAUUUUUGGAGCAUCGCUCAUCGACCUUGCCAAAAUGAGUGCUUUCUGGAAGUAAGAGCUAUAUUGAAUGCGUAGUGUGGGCAUGUGGGGCUGCAAAUGACUGGUCCUUGCGUGCAACCAAAGAUGUCAAAAUUAGUAUAGCGAAGUUCUCAGGAUCACAUAGGAUCGAUAGUAAAACCAUGAACCUGUUAUCGCUGCUAUGCUUUUUAGCACACUUGUUGAUGGUGCCAUUUGAUGACGUUUUGUAGGGGAAAGAUUGAAGAUGAGGGUACAUAACUUGGACAUAGUUCUUGAGAAACAGACUGCAUCAGUCACUUGACAUGCACUGCAAGCAAGCUAGAGUUACUGUGCUGGGAGAACAGAGAAGCUGAAGUUUAAGAAAUCCAUAUCGCAAACUUGUACAACAAACUUUAGAAACAUGAUACUCGAGAACCUCUAUUCCUUUGUUAGAUUUUUUAUGCUACUGAUCGAGUAGCUGUUUUAGUUGGUGGUCCUGCAAAUGACACUCAAGAGUUGCUGUUAACUGAUGAGAAUGUUUGGAAAUUGCUGAAUAUUUGAGCAACACAGCUCCUGAUAUUUUGACAAA